rnacentral:rRNA from 1 species
AGAGUUUGAUCCUGGCUCAGAACGAACGCUGGCGGCAGGCCUAACACAUGCAAGUCGAACGCGUGUAGCAAUACACGAGUGGCGCACGGGUGAGUAACACGUGGGAAUCAACCCAGAGGUUCGGAAUAACCGCGGGAAACUGCGGCUAAUACCGGAUAUCCCCUACGGGGGAAAGAUUUAUCGCCUUUGGACGAGCCCGCGUCCGAUUAGCUAGUUGGUGAGGUAACGGCUCACCAAGGCUCCGAUCGGUAGCUGGUCUGAGAGGACGACCAGCCACACUGGAACUGAGAUACGGUCCAGACUCCUACGGGAGGCAGCAGUGGGGAAUAUUGGGCAAUGGAGGCAACUCUGACCCAGCCAUGCCGCGUGGGUGACGAAGGUCUUCGGAUUGUAAAGCCCUUUCGGCGGGGACGAUGAUGACGGUACCCGCAGAAGAAGCCCCGGCUAACUUCGUGCCAGCAGCCGCGGUAAUACGAAGGGGGCUAGCGUUGUUCGGAAUUACUGGGCGUAAAGGGCGUGUAGGCGGCCCGUUAAGACAGGUGUGAAAUUCCUGGGCUCAACCCAGGACGUGCGCCUGUGACUGGCGGGCUUGAGUCCGGGAGAGGAUGGUGGAACUCCCAGUGUAGAGGUGAAAUUCGUAGAUAUUGGGAAGAACACCCGUGGCGAAGGCGGCCAUCUGGACCGGUACUGACGCUAAGGCGCGACAGCGUGGGGAGCAAACAGGAUUAGAUACCCUGGUAGUCCACGCCGUAAACGAUGAGUGCUAGACGUUGGGAAGCCUAGCUUUUCAGUGUCGCAGCUAACGCAUUAAGCACUCCGGCCUGGGGAUACGGCCGCAAGGUUAAAACUCAAAGGAAUUGACGG